AGUGAACGCUGGCGGUAGGCCUAACACAUGCAAGUCGAACGGCAGCACAGUGAGAGCUUGCUCUUACGGGUGGCGAGUGGCGGACGGGUGAGGAAUACAUCGGAAUCUACUUUUUCGUGGGGGAUAACGUAGGGAAACUUACGCUAAUACCGCAUACGACCUACGGGUGAAAGCAGGGGGUCUUCGGACCUUGCGCGAUUGAAUGAGCCGAUGUCGGAUUAGCUAGUUGGCGGGGUAAAGGCCCACCAAGGCGACGAUCCGUAGCUGGUCUGAGAGGAUGAUCAGCCACACUGGAACUGAGACACGGUCCAGACUCCUACGGGAGGCAGCAGUGGGGAAUAUUGGACAAUGGGCGCAAGCCUGAUCCAGCCAUACCGCGUGGGUGAAGAAGGCCUUCGGGUUGUAAAGCCCUUUUGUUGGGAAAGAAAAGCAGCAGGUUAAUACCCCGCUGUUCUGACGGUACCCAAAGAAUAAGCACCGGCUAACUUCGUG
rnacentral:rRNA from 1 species